AACGGCCCCAGGCUGGGCCAGGGCAGGCUCAGGGUGGAUUUUGGGAAGGGGAUGGAUACGUGGAAGAGGUUGCAAAGCGCUGGAAUGCCCAGGGCUGAGGUGGAACCCCCAUCCUUGGAAGUGUUCAGGAAAUCUAUGGCUGUGGCACUUGGGGAUGUGAGUCAGUGGUGAUGGUUGGACUCUGCUGCAGCGAGCGCCGUGCGGGGCGGCCGCGACUGUUCCUGCGAGCUCUGCGAUCCCAUUUAUCCGCAGGGACACACAGCGAGGACACCGGGCUUGGGGUGCCACAAGAUGGAUUUAUUUAUUCCUGGGCUCCCAGACAGGACUGCGGGUGGGGUGAACAGAAAUUUUUACCCAGCAAGUCAGGAGGAGGCGUGUAGGAAAGUGAACCAGUGAGGAUAUGGUAAGAGAGGAGUAUAAGGUGGGCAAAUGGCUCAUGAGCCCACCAGGGAAAAUGGGAGGGGGGAAUAAUACAAAGGAACAAAUGGGGUGUCGAGGGCAACAAGACAGACACAGAAUUCUAUGGAGAAAGGGGUAGGGAUAGGGAGGAUUGACAACUUGGAAGGGAGGAGGUUAGGGAAGGGCUUGGGAAAAUUGGCCAGUGGGGAAGGGAGGGGAUUAGAGAGAACAGGAAGCGAACUUGGAUUCAAAGCAAAACACACCACAACAGGACUCGAUGACCUUAGAGAUAUUUUCCAAAUUUAAUUAUCCCAUGAUUCUGUGAUUCUAAGAGCCAGGACAAAGCCAGAAGAAGCAGCAGCAUGAAGGACACUUGGAAAUCACAUAUAAAACUUGCAAGAGUUUUUGUGUGGGUUCUUAACUGGCACGGACAGGGAUUAUGAAACUCGCUGUUAUUUCCUUGGCUCAGACCUUGGGAAGUGUCCAGGCUUUGACAGGAGCAGUGUCUUUUGGUCUGUCUUCAGUUGAUCACCUUUCUGCUGACCCUGAAGCCCAGGAGAAGCUCAGAGAAAUCCUGCUCCAGUAACUCGAUGUUUCUUAUCGGGGCUGAUUCCACGUUGGCUGAAUAACUUGUGAAUCUCCUGCAGCUGCCUCGAGUUUGGCUCAGGGAUGAGCUGCUCCCUCCCAUCAAACCACAACCAGCUUUGUGACAUUUCUGAAGGCUCAGCUUGUCUGCGCUUGGCUUUUUCUGCAGUGAUGUGGAAGAGAAACAGCUCCAGAUCUUGCAUGGAAGGGGAAACAGAAAUGGGACGUGAUCCACCUGGCUUCAGGAAUUUGU